AAAGUAAGUUUAUGCCUUUUUUUUUUUUUAGGCUUAAUGAUGUGUUUCGUCAUUGCAAUUAGACGUCAUUUAAAAUUUAAUACCCUCAACCGUUGGGUACACAAUAGCGGCGUACGGCUCAUCUGAAGAUGUGAUUGCAUUGCAUAAUCGUUGAGAGCACGUUUCUCAGCCAUAUCGUUAUUAUCUUCUUUGAGUCAUGCCUGAAAUCAAAACGGUUAAAGAUAGAAAAUAAAAUAUAAAAUAAAAUAAAAUAAAAUAAUAAAAUAAAAUAAGGAGAAAGGGAGGGAGAGAGAAAGAGAUAACACACUAGUAUUUAGACCCGUGCAUCGCACGAGAAGUUAGAUAUGUCAUUGAUUAAUAAAUAAGGUAAUCUUAAAUGAAACAAUAAUAGUUGUAAGUGAGCAUGAAUUAACGUGUCCAAAAUAAAACCAAUAAUAACUUGUAGUAAUUUAGAAUUCUCGUUAUCACAUCGGAUAGACAAAUAAAAAUAACCAAAUGCAACUACUAAUAUAAAUUUGUCUUGAGUAAUAAUAUACUAAUUUGUGGAUAAUAAAGAUGUAUCAAUUCUCAACAAUUGAAUCGGUAAAACUCAGUUUUGUGUCCAUAACUUUUGUUGAUUCCAAAUAAAAAAUUCAUCAUAAAGAUGAUGAUCAACCUGACAUGAAAUAAAAUAAAUUUGAAAUAAAGCGAUUACAAGGACUAAUUUUUAAAUGACGCCUAAUUGCAAGGACGAAACACAUCAUUAAGCCUUUUCUUUAAAACAUUCAUCCAUAUUAAUAAAAUGGUCACCCUUUGGUAUCUUAUUUGAUGAAAAAUGAACCGGAGUUACUAAGAGGCUAGAGGAAGAGUCUCUUGAGACGACCUAUCCGGUUUGCAACCCUUUUGCUGCUAAGAAAGAAAAGGAAAGUAAGUUCGUAAUGACCAAACCGCUUGUUGCUGAGAAGUGUCCUGUGACAUCUGACUCGCUUUUUGUGAUGUCUGACCCGCUUCUUGCUGAAAGUAAGUUUGUGCCUUAUUUUUUUUAAAACAUUCAUCCAUAUUAAAAAAUGGUCACCCUUUGGCAUCUUAUUUGAUGAAAAAUGAACAGGAGUUGCUAAGAGGGUAGAGGAAGAGGGGCCUCUUGAGACGACCAAUCUGGUUUGCAACCCUUUUCCUGCUGUGAAGACCAACAUUGCCGACAAUCAUACUUUGCCAUUUCCCAAGCUGUUGCCAAAUGAAGGUAAGUUUGUGCCCUGUCUCUUUCUUUUUAACAACUUUCAACACUAUUAAAAUAUCCUCACCCUUUGUUUUCUUAUUUGAUCUAAACGAUGAACAGGAUUAAAAGUUGAUAGCUAUGAGGGAGGUCCUUUUGGGACAUUUUUUAACAAUGAAAAAAUGAAAAGUAAACUAUGCUGUUGUCAGUCUUCUAAGAUGUCUCUCAAUUUCAACUCACUCCUUGAUGCAAAGCAGCUAGGUAAAAGUAAGUUUGUGACUCGGUCUAUUUCUUUUUUAACUUUCAACCAUAUUUAACUAUCCUAACCCUGCUUUGACACUUUGAAAUGUUCAAAUCUUCUCGCAUUGGGGGAUUAGGGUUUAAAACCUUUAAUUGGGGCUUUUUUUAGACUGUGAGGUUUUGUAAAAUUGAGUGUGUUUUCAUAUUGAUUCAUAAUUCUCUCUCUCUCACCCUUCAUCAAUAUGUUAUGUGAAUCCGUGCUUAUUAUCUUGCCUUAUGAAUAAACAGAAGUUGAAGUUGCUAAGAUGGAAUAUACCGACUGGUCUCCAUUUCUGAAGGAAAACUGCGAACGGUAUCUUGCUAAGAAGAAAGAAGAGGACCGUAAGUAUUUUUCUGAAUUUCUUCGUAAUAAACUUAAACGUCCUGCUGUGAAGACCAACGUUGCCGACAAUCAUUCUCCUGCUGUGACAUCCGGCACGCUUUUUGUGAUGUCUGACCCGUUUCUUGCUGAAAGUAAGUUUGUGCCUUAUUUUUUUAUAAAACAUUCAUCCAUAUUAACAAAAUGGUCACCCUUUGGUAUCUUAUUUGAUGAAAAAUGAACAGGAUUUACUAAGAGGCUAGAGGAAGAGUCUCUUGAGACGACCAAUCCGGUUUGCAACCCUUUUGCUGCUAAGAAAGAAAAGGAAAGUAAGUUCGUAAUGACCAAACCACUUGUUGCUGAGAAGCGUCCUCUGACAUCCGACUCGCUUUUUGUGAUGUCUGACCCGUUUCUUGCUGAAAGUAAGUUUGUGCCUUAUUUUUUUUAAAACAUUCAUCCAUAUUAAAAAAUUGUCACUCUUUGGUGUCUUAUUUGAUGAAAAAUGAACAGGAGUUGCUAAGAGGCAAAAAGUAGAGAGCUUAGAGGAAGAGCUUCUUGAGACGAC
rnacentral:lncRNA from 1 species